rnacentral:lncRNA from 1 species
AAGAAUAAAGUAGUAAUUACACAUAGCUAAUCUUAAAUUACAAUUUUAUAAACAUAUGUGUCGUCCUUCCUCCCGUUCCUUCUUCUAGAAUUCUCUUUCACUAUUACUUUGCUAAUCAUCUGCCAUUUGCUAAUGAGUUCUAGCCACAAUUAUCUGCCAUUACUAGUAGAUCUUCCUUGCUAACCUUCUUUUAUCCUUAAUAUCUUCUUUCAGGAAUUUUACUCUUUUUUUUUCUCUAAUCAAAAUUUGGACUCAACUCUGUGAUUCACAAUUGGGGAUAAACUUGUCUGCUGCUUCUUGCUGAAUGAACUCUUGGAGCAGCAAUCGUCUACCAGGAUGGAGUAUUCUUUGAGCUUCGAACUGCUUGACGGGAAUAUUGAGGUAUAACCUUUCAGUUGUUAUUUUUGAAGGGUUUAUAUGUUAUUUUUUCCUUUUUAAUUUAUCAUAAUUAGUCAGUCCAUGGUCGACUCUCUGCUAAUUUUGAGGUAGAACUUUUUUAAGGUUUAAAAUAAGUGAAAUUUACUAAUCGAUGAUUUAAAAAUUUGAGAUAUAACCCCCUUUUAGAUUUUUGUUUGUACUGUCGGACUACAUUGCCCAUUGAUUUCUCAUCUAGAUAGAGUUAUCUAGUAAAUGUGCUCGUGUGACGUAGCAGGUAUCCCAUAAAAUUAGUCGAGGUACACACAAGCUAAUCGGAACGCCAUUGUUAUUUUUUUAAAAAAGAACUUGAAGUUGCUACUUCCUUUAAGAUUUGUAUGCUACUCAUUAUUUGUUGACAAGGCGCCCAUAGCUGCCACCUUCUGAUCUUGUAUAUGAAACUCCCCCAGGAAGCGAGCCUAAUAUUUGAAUCUUGAAGACUGAUUUACAAAUGGAACUGAGUUAUCACGGCUCUUGAAUAGAUCAAGCAAAGGUAGAAUGGAGAUCUUUAAAAAAAAUGCUCAAUGACACUGCAAGUAAAAUAAAAUAAAAUAAAUAACAUGAAGAAAAUAUUAGCCAGUACCUUUGUCAUUCAUGUAAUUUGGUAUAGUUAGCAUAACUGAGAUGCCUCAACUGAACUGUAUGCUACAUUUGCUGAUGGCUAUUUAUUUAGAUGCCCAACUAAAAUAAGAUAGAAAUACUGUAAAGCUAAAGUGGUCGACCAAGGGUAAUUUUGACAUUUCAAACCUUAGGUAGAAUUGAAAACCCCCUCAUUCAUUCUCUGUUUUGCAUUUUGUAUCUCUCAAAUUCAUUUUUACAUUCUUCAUCUAGAGUAUUCUAAGUUCAGAGUCCCUGAUAGCCCCAUCUAGCUUUCUUCUUCGUCGUCUUCUUUUAGAGAGGUAAUGAUUAUCUCUCUGCUAUUUACUUAUAGUUAUAGAUUACUGAAGUUCAAAGAUGUGUAUUUCUAGCCAAGUUGGUGGCUACUGCUCCAGUUAAACUUGGGGAAAGAAACAGUGAGAUCAUUUCGUGACAAUUUGAGAGUUUCCAAAUUGGGUAGGAGGAAAGGUACAUGGUUAUAAAUUGAUUAUUUUACCAUGGGAUCUUUUUUCAAUUUGUGGUUAUGACAAUGAAGCUAACUUCCUAUAGGUCCUUUUAUUGAUAAAUCAAAGGAGUAGGGCUUCAAUUUUGUUUGCUUUAUCUUUUUGAGCAAUUCAAUAACUCCACAUCAACUGUAUCGAGUGACAUUUUCCAUUCAAAUAUAAUUAACAAAAGAAUUCAAAAAAGAUUGUAUUGUACAAUUUUGUUUCACCAAUAUUUCUUGAGUAGAUGCUCUUAAACCGUUUGAUACUGUAUAUGCUCAUCAUUCCAAUAUAUAUCAUUUUGCACAGUUGGUUAAACAAUCCAAUUCACUGAAAUUGAAUCAUCCUAAAGAAUUUAGUGUUUGACUGAAAGGAAUGGAACUUGGGCCUAACUCAGAGGUGAGGAUUGCCCAAGCCAUAUAAGGAGACCAAGGACCUCAAAUCCCUCCGAUGUGGGACAACUCAACGGAAACAGUUCCCGUUUCUACAUAACAACCGUUUUUCAAGUCGAGUUUAAUAUCGAGGUGGCUUGUAUAGUUUUCUGGAGCGUGGACAACAUAAAUGGGGGCCCAACAUCGAUAACAAAUUGGGAUGAGCUGGCUCUGAUACCAUGAAAAGAAUGGACCUUGGGCCUAACUCAACCCUAAAAGCUAGCUUAUNNNNNNNNNNNNNNNNNNNNNNNNNNNNNNNNNNNNNNNNNNNNNNNNNNNNNNNNNNNNNNNNNNNNNNNNNNNNNNNNNNNNNNNNNNNNNNNNNNNNNNNNNNNNNNNNNNNNCUAAAAGCUAGCUUAUGAGGUGAGGAUUGCCCAAGCCAUAUAAGGAGACCAAGGACCUCAAAUCCCUCCGAUGUGGGACAACUCAACAUUGACUUCUUGUUUGGAUAAACUAUUAGAUAUUGAUUAUUGCUAUAGUGAUAUCAGAAAUUAGUACAUUCAUUCCAACCUUCAUGGUUGGCCUGGUGGCAAUUGACUUGAACCUUGGGGUUUGCUCUGUUUCAAGGUCUCAAGUUCGAAAUAUACUGGGUGUAAAUAAUUUCUGAGGGCCAUCAAACUAGAUAAAACCUGAAUUAACCGUUGUGCACUUGUUGGAAAUUCUUUGUCGAGGGCCUGUGCACCCCCGGAUUAGUAGGGCUCGAAAAGACUCGGGCACCCAGUGCAAAUAAAAAAAGUAGUACAUUCAUUUUUCAAUUGUAUUUUCAGGUAGGUGACAGUUUCAGUUUUAUGUCAGAGUUUCGUUUACGUUAUAUACAGAUAUACCUUUCUAUAGUAGCAUAAAGAGGGGUGACAAAAGGUUAUCUUUUAUUUCCUAUUUUUUCUUAGUUAAACGACUGUAAUUUAUAUUAUUUUACUCUGAUUUGCUUUACAGUUCACGUCUCCAAGUAUAGGUGAAUGUUACUCAAAAUAGUUCUCAUUUUGCUAAAUAGAUAUUAAACCCCCAUGAGUUACUCUUAAGGGUUCAAUUACUUUGUCUUUUACCUGAUCCAUUUAUAAUUGACCAACUUUUUACUACAUGGGAAUAUUACUCAAAAUAGUUCUUAUUUUGCUUAAUAGAUAUUGAGCCCCCCACGAGUUACUCUUAAGGGUUCAAUUACUUUGUCUUUUACCUGAUCCAUUUAAUUUGUGUUAGGAUAUUUUAUGACAGGUAUGGAUUUUUGUAAAGCACUCUACUUACUACUUAUUUCUGUGUGUGCUAAAAAAGGAAAUUUCAAUUUGUGUCCUCCAGUUUGUAUGGCUUCUAUAUUGUUAAAACUGAAUAUGUGGUUGUGGGCAGACUUAGGGAUACAAAAGAUAUAUAAAUAAUGAAAAGAAGUGGAGAAGGGGAAGAGGAUCGAGUCUAUGGUUGGGGAGAAGAUAGUCUUGGCAACCAAGGGCAUCAUUUACUUUAAAAAGACUAGAUGUAAUGCUAAAAGUUUUUAAACAAUCAUACAGCCUUGGCCUAUUUUACAAAUAAAAUUUUCAAUCGCUUAAUAAUGUGGUG